rnacentral:rRNA from 1 species
UUGCUCUUUCCGGAAUUGAGUGGCAAACGGGUGAGUAACACGUAAACAACCUGCCUUCAGGAUGGGGACAACAGACGGAAACGACUGCUAAUACCGAAUAAGUUCCAAGAGCCGCAUGGCCCAUGGAAGAAAAGGUGGCCUCUACCUGUAAGCUAUCGCCUGAAGAGGGGUUUGCGUCUGAUUAGCUGGUUGGAGGGGUAACGGCCCACCAAGGCGACGAUCAGUAGCCGGUCUGAGAGGAUGAACGGCCACACUGGAACUGAGACACGGUCCAGACUCCUACGGGAGGCAGCAGUGGGGAAUCUUCCGCAAUGGGCGAAAGCCUGACGGAGCAACGCCGCGUGAGUGAUGACGGCCUUCGGGUUGUAAAACUCUGUGAUCCGGGACGAAAAGGCAGAGUGCGAAGAACAAACUGCAUUGACGGUACCGGAAAAGCAAGCCACGGCUAACUACGUGCCAGCAGCCGCGGUAAUACGUAGGUGGCAAGCGUUGUCCGGAGUUAUUGGGCGUAAAGCGCGCGCAGGCGGCUUCCCAAGUCCCUCUUAAAAGUGCGGGGCUUAACCCCGUGAUGGGAAGGAAACUGGGAAGCUGGAGUAUCGGAGAGGAAAGUGGAAUUCCUAGUGUAGCGGUGAAAUGCGUAGAGAUUAGGAAGAACACCGGUGGCGAAGGCGACUUU